rnacentral:rRNA from 1 species
AGAGUUUGAUCAUGGCUCAGGAUGAACGCUGGCGGCGUGCCUAAUACAUGCAAGUCGAGCGAAUGGAUUAAGAGCUUGCUCUUAUGAAGUUAGCGGCGGACGGGUGAGUAACACGUGGGUAACCUGCCCAUAAGACUGGGAUAACUCCGGGAAACCGGGGCUAAUACCGGAUAACAUUUUGAACCGCAUGGUUCGAAAUUGAAAGGCGGCUUCGGCUGUCACUUAUGGAUGGACCCGCGUCGCAUUAGCUAGUUGGUGAGGUAACGGCUCACCAAGGCAACGAUGCGUAGCCGACCUGAGAGGGUGAUCGGCCACACUGGGACUGAGACACGGCCCAGACUCCUACGGGAGGCAGCAGUAGGGAAUCUUCCGCAAUGGACGAAAGUCUGACGGAGCAACGCCGCGUGAGUGAUGAAGGCUUUCGGGUCGUAAAACUCUGUUGUUAGGGAAGAACAAGUGCUAGUUGAAUAAGCUGGCACCUUGACGGUACCUAACCAGAAAGCCACGGCUAACUACGUGCCAGCAGCCGCGGUAAUACGUAGGUGGCAAGCGUUAUCCGGAAUUAUUGGGCGUAAAGCGCGCGCAGGUGGUUUCUUAAGUCUGAUGUGAAAGCCCACGGCUCAACCGUGGAGGGUCAUUGGAAACUGGGAGACUUGAGUGCAGAAGAGGAAAGUGGAAUUCCAUGUGUAGCGGUGAAAUGCGUAGAGAUAUGGAGGAACACCAGUGGCGAAAGCGACUUUCUGGUCUGUAACUGACACUGAGGUGCGAAAAGCGUGGGGAGCAAA